UUACCGUUACAAUCUGUAGAUGUGAAUGC
rnacentral:sRNA from 1 species